rnacentral:rRNA from 1 species
UACUCGAGUGGCGAACGGGUGAGUAACACGUGGGUGAUCUGCCCUGCACUUCGGGAUAAGCUUGGGGAACUGGGUCUAAUACCGGAUAGGACCGCACUUUAGUGUGUGUGGUGGAAAGUUUUUUCGGUGUAGGAUGAGCUCGCGGCCUAUCAGCUUGUUGGUGGGGUAAUGGCCUACCAAGGCGGCGACGGGUAGCCGGCCUGAGAGGGUGUACGGCCACAUUGGGACUGAGAUACGGCCCAG